ACUAACAUGGGCCCCAAGAAGCGGAACUAGAAAACAAAACUGCAAACUUUAGCUGAUCUAACAAUUUUUGCUUAAAGGUCAGUAAAAUUGACAAACCUGACCACAAGGUAUAAUUAACACAUUU